rnacentral:rRNA from 1 species
GCCCAGACUCCUACGGGAGGCAGCAGUGGGGAAUAUUGCACAAUGGGGGAAACCCUGAUGCAGCAACGCCGCGUGAGUGAAGAAGUCAUUCGUGAUGUAAAGCUCUAUCAGCAGGGAAGAAAAUGACGGUACCUGAGUAAGAAGCCCCGGCUAACUACGUGCCAGCAGCCGCGGUAAUACGUAGGGGGCAAGCGUUAUCCGGAUUUACUGGGUGUAAAGGGAGCGUAGACGGCCAGACAAGUCUGAAGUGAAAAUCCAGCGCUUAACGUUGGAAGUGCUUUGGAAACUGCCGGGCUAGAGUGCAGGAGGGGCAGGCGUAAUUCCUAGUGUAGCGGUGAAAUGCAUAGAUCUCACGCAGAACUCCGAUUGCGAAGGCAGCGCACCGGCGCCCUACUGACGCUCAGGCACGAAAGCGUGGGUAUCGAACAGGAUUAGAUACCCGGGUA